UACGAAGGGGGCUAGCGUUGCUCGGAAUCACUGGGCGUAAAGCGCACGUAGGCGGCUCUUUAAGUCAGGGGUGAAAUCCUGGAGCUCAACUCCAGAACUGCCCUUGAUACUGAGGAGCUUGAGUCCGGGAGAGGUGAGUGGAACUGCGAGUGUAGAGGUGAAAUUCGUAGAUAUUCGCAAGAACACCAGUGGCGAAGGCGGCUCACUGGCCCGGAACUGACGCUGAGACGCGAAAGCGUGGGGAGCAAACAGG
rnacentral:rRNA from 1 species